UAUACAUGCAGUCGACGAUACCAAGAAGCUUGCUUCUUGGGAAAGUGGCGCACGGGUGCGUAACGCGUAUGCAACCUACCUUAAUCAGGGGGAUAGCCCGAAGAAAUUCGGAUUAACACCGCAUAAAAACACAGGAUAGCAUUAUCCAAUGUUCAAAUAUUUAUAGGAUUAAGAUGGGCAUGCGUGUCAUUAGCUAGUUGGCGGGGUAACGGCCCACCAAGGCGACGAUGACUAGGGGAUCUGAGAGGAUGACCCCCCACACUGGUACUGAGACACGGACCAGACUCCUACGGGAGGCAGCAGUAAGGAAUAUUGGUCAAUGGAGGCAACUCUGAACCAGCCAUGCCGCGUGCAGGAAGACGGCCCUCUGGGUUGUAAACUGCUUUUAUUCGGGAAUAAACAUACUUACGUGUAAAUAGCUGAGUGUACCGAAGGAAUAAGGAUCGGCUAACUCCCUGCCACG
rnacentral:rRNA from 1 species